AUGGCACUAAAACCAUGGGCUCCCAUAGGUUUGUUGAUGAUUACGCUGACGUUGAUCUUCGUCAGUCUCCCGUUGCCAGUGGACUCAAAAUCAUGUGUUGAAAUGAUAGGCAACCAAUUGGUGACCACCAUGAGGGACAAAUGCUUGCUUGCUUUCAAUCCACCAACAAAACCUGGUUCAAAUCCCGUUGCGGAGAAAGAGUGCUGCCAGGCGGUAGGCAAAGGUCUUGAGCGGUCCAGGGGAAACAUGUGCCUUUGUAACUACAUGAAGUUAAAUCCUGGCCUCGGUGGGCCUCCUGUCUUGGGUGGGCCUACUAUGGCUGAAUUGUGCAAGCUUAGCGAAAGGACCAAACAAAUCUGUGGAAGCUAA
rnacentral:rRNA from 1 species